rnacentral:lncRNA from 1 species
AUCUAUGUGCUUUUUUUGGGGGGGGGGAAGGUAUUAACUCAUUUAGUAUUAUAGGUACCGAGUUCAUACCAGGCACUGUGCUACCCUGGAGUCUCAAAGGUGAAUUAGUUGUGGCCUCUAUUUUCAAAGAACUUAGCCUGAUCAUCUCAAUAUAAUGUGUAGAGUAUGAAAUCCAUGCCUGUUUCUAUGGAAUACCUGAACUGCUUCUUAAAGCUACAGGUGAAUUCAGAGGUGGACCUAAGGAAGAGGGACCAACUGUGGACACACAUUUAGAAUUUCUGACUCCCAGGAUUAUCCUUUUCUCAGUGCAGGGUACCACCACACUACCUCCUACCCACCACCUGAUCAAUCUAGGAGAGCAGAAGGGAGCCUCUAGGAUGGUUGGAAAAGAAAAACCGGAACUCUUUUUAGCAUAUUAACAUACGAAAGUUAAUGCUAAGUGGCCAAACUUAGCCCGUUCAGACUCCUGUUCUUAACUGACUCUGUGGGAAGGUCCCAGGAACAAACCAGUCAUGCACAGAAAAGCACUCAUGAAGACAGAACAGUAAGUGCAAAGGCUCAAUGAGUGUGUCAGGUCAUCAGCUGAGAGUAAGGUACAGGGAGGAAGUAAUGUGACAUUUUAAUAAUAAAUGAAAAGAAGCUUAAGAAAUAAACUCUUAC